rnacentral:lncRNA from 1 species
CAGAAGCAGAACCUCUCGUGUUCGAUUUUCUCACCAGUUAGCACCAUCUUGGGUCUGUUCCUCCCGCAACAAGAGGAAGGCACCCAAAGCUGGAGAAAGCAGGAAGGCCCUCCAGGUAAGAGGGACGGCCACUACAAAGACAAAGGAACAGACAUUGGAGUUCCAUGUUUGAGGAACAGACCAGUCUGGACAGGCUGUGGAGAAGGGAUAUGUGAGCCUGCAAAGGCUGAGAAACAUCUCAGAUGUCCAACAGAAGAGCUUCUUUCUCUUGAGAAAUCCCUGACAUUCCAGGAUGUGACUGUGGACUUCUCCCAGGAGGAAUGGGGGCUGCUGGAGCCAGCUCAGAAGGACAUGUACAGGGACAGGAUGCAGGAGAACUAUGAGAACUUUGUCUCCCUGGGACUGUUCGUUUCCAAUGGAGAUGUCCUUUCACCAUUGGAGAAAAGAGAAGCACUAAGAUUGCCUGAGAGAGAAAUUCCAAGAAGUUCUUCCCCGGUGAAUGAAUUUUACUUUUUGAGGCAGUGUCAUACUGGAGAUGAUCACAAGCAUCACUCCAGUGAGUCAUACCAGGAAGAAUGUCUUACCUUGAAAUGUUAGACUGGCCCUUUUCUUUUUCUUUAUUAUUAUAUUAUAUUCUGUCUUAGAGUCCACAUUAAGUAC